rnacentral:lncRNA from 1 species
AGUUUCAAAAUUGUCUUUCCUGACCCCUGACAUCGGAUACUUCAGAGGGCCCCUGGAAUGUCCAGAAAAGAGAGGUAAACAGGAUUAUUGGACGGGUUUAGAUACAUGGGAUUGACAAAAUGAUGUUCAUUCUUCUUUAGGUUACAUUUUUGGUGAAUAAGGCUAAUAUAUGUUCCAAAAUUUAUGAGAAUUCUAAUGUCUAAGUAUAUGCUAUCAAUCAUAAUUAAGGUUGUUAUGUUAAGUUGUUGUAAACCACAGAGAUGGCCAAACUUCUUUGUCAAUUGUGUUGCUAGCUGUAACUACCCUGGACAUUUUGCUAUUCACAGACAAUUGUUGUCUUGUUUUAAUCCUUUUCAAAAGAUGGUUCGUAAUAAGCUAUAGAAAUUUAACAGAUCCUCUAAAAUACAGGCUUCUGAUAACUUUGGAAAUUGUAACAUUGGAAUAAAGGAAAACAUACAGGACUCGUGAACAGCUGAAAUGUUCAUGAAUAUUAAGCAAAACAAGAGUCAACUAAAUGGACUAAACUCAGAAACUGAAUGGAGCAAAUCUUUCUGACUUUUGCUUGAAAUAUUGCUGAUCCUUGUUAUGUUUUUCAGAGUCAAAGAAACUUAUUUUAAACUAUUUAUGGCCUUUAAUUAUUAAGAUACACUCCUAGAUCAAAAUUUGGAGCAUGUUUGUUUCUCUCUGCCUGCUUCCCUUAGAAUUUGGAAAGUAUCUGUGAGUAUUCUUAACUUACAGCAAUAUAGUUGUUUGCAUCAGUGCAAUAAGAAUCCAUCUUUCUUUUGCAACAGAACGCAAUUGGAAAAACUGGUCAUUUCACCAAGGCUUUGACUGGAAGGGUAUGCUUCCCUUUAAGGAGUCAAUCUCGACUUGCAGAGCCAAUAAAAGCCCAGUGGGGAGACUGGCCUCAUAACUUUGUCUAUGCAGUCCCUGUACAGGGUUCCUGAUGUGUGGUCAGUAAUGAUUGUCACUUUCUAACAGGUCCAGGAGCUCCAAGUUUAUCUUGGGACCUUAUGAGGAGAGGAUGACCCCACUCACAGGUAUUUGAGGAUACUAACCCAUGGCUGGGCUCAGUUUUAAAAUACCUUAUCUGAGACUCCUUGUGGAACAAAGUUCCAUCAAAGCCAAUCCAAAAGGCCUAUGUAGAAAUGAUUAUUCUUGCUGCACUUUAUGUAAAUAAUCAGGCCAAGUGUAAAACCAAAGUCUAUUUUUCAAACAACCCAGUCCCAUUAUGAUUUGUUUUUUUUAAACAAACAUGAGGACUGGAGAGAGUAAAAUUAUAUUCCAAACUUUCUCAUACAUUUGUCAUUAAAUUCUAAACUAACUAAUUGUUUUUAAGUUUUCUCCUACAUUUUAGACUAAUCCUGCUUGUUCCUGUGAACCAACCAGCAAUCUCUGGCUGCAGCUCAGAAAGAACAAAAGGGGAUGGGUAAUGUAGAAAUCCUGAUCAAUAUUCUAGUUCUGUGCAAUUAUCCUGCAAAUCUUGCCAGGUGAUGGAAUACAUAGGGAAUAAAUAGGAUCCCAUCACUCAGAGGUUUCCUUUUGGGGAAGUAAGACCAAGGGAGCUAACCAAAGCCAGACACCAUGCACCCAAAUCCUAGCAAGCAUAACUAUAGCUACCAGUUAUCUGGGGGUGUCAUAAGACAUCCUUUCUCACCCUCGGAGGAGGACUUAGUUCCACAGUUUCAUCAUAGCAUUUGGCUUAUGAUAAGGAGUCCACGCAACUUUCCCCGAGACACAUUUUUGUCCCAGACUCAAUUACAGGCUUUGGGUUAAAGCCCUAGAAAGAAAAUUGGAUAUAAAGGAUCCAGAGGCAGACAACAACAGAGGUUAAAAGGCACAGCACAGGGGAGCAUGGCUGAUUCCUGUUGAUUAAGCCAACCCCAAACUUCCUGUUUCAUGGAUAAAGGCCACAUUAAUAUCCAUGGUGUAAAUGAGGUCUAGGGCACUCCAAGGCUACUGACAGUAGCAGUGAUAGAGGCAUAGGUGAGAGCAGAUAAUUCCUAUUCUCUAGGCCUUCCCUGCUUCAUGUGUGCAAGCUGCUUUGGCACUCAUGGCGGGACCUGCCUAGGUCACAGGGACUUGGAGAUGCAAGGAUGGAAGAGGAAAAGAGGACACUCUUCCUUUUCUCCCUCAUGUACCCCAGGUAUCUGCUAGGAAGAAAAGGGAGCCAGGGAUGCCUGCUCCCCUCUUUCUAGAUGGGUAGCUAUUAAUCUUCAGUAUGUACCCCUUUUGAAUACAUCCUGAACCCCGGGGACUCCCUUAAAAAAAUGCCUUUUUGAGCUUACCCUUCCUAUUGUUUUGUUUUGAUACAUGUUUUCUAAUAACCCGGUUUGUCUGUUCUUAGACCAUCAAACUCCAAAUGGUCAUGCAACCAGAGCCUCUGACGAUGGCCCCUUCUGCUGGGAACCCUUAAAUAGGCCUCUGAGGAAGCUCUGACUGCCAUUUCCCCAAAAGCUCUGACUGCCGUUUCCCUGUCAGCAGGAAGCAGUUAAGUUUAGUCUUCAUCUUUAUCCUUAUUCUCAUGGCAGUUAGAUAUACUUUUUUAGAGCGGGGAAUGAGACAGCCAGGUGGGAGGGGGUCCCUGGAAAAAUUCUAACUGCACCGGGGUGGGGACUCAGGAAGUUCACGCAUUUUGCAGCUGGGAGGAGCGUGGCCCCUCCUCUUCCUGCAUGGAACCUGGGAUUCAAACAGGGGCUCUGGCCUUGCGGAAGAUCCCUGUUUCUCUCCUUCUUUUCCCUUUUCACCCAAUAAAACCCUGCCUUAAUCACACUUCAAACCAUUUGCUAGCCUAAAUUUUCAUGGCCAUGGGACAGACAAGGACUCAGUCUUUAGCUGAACUAAGGAAAUGUCCUGAAACAGUAAUAUGAAUGUAUACAUGUGAUAAAUGACAUAAAGCCAUAGUGUACAUAUUGUGCCAAUGUCAAAUUCCUAAUUUUGAUUUUGUGCUAUAAUUAUGUAAGGUAUAACCAUUGGGGAAAACUGGUAAGGGGUACGUGGAUCCCCUCUGCCCUACCUUUGAAACUCCCUGUGAAUCUAUUCUUUUUUUUUUUUUUUAAUUAUACUUUACGUUCUAGGGUACAUGUGCACAACAUGCAGGUUUGUUACAUAUGUAUGCAUGUGCCAUGUUGGUGUGCUGCACCAUUAACUCAUCAUUUACAUUAGGUAUAUCCCCUAAUGCUUUCCCUCCCCCCUCCCCCC